GUGCUGUAUUACCAUAAUGACUUCUUGUGACGAAGAUGUACUCAGCAGCAGUAUGGAAAUGGCACAUGCCAGGGAGCACAUUAUCAGAGCCAAAUGCUUUGGGAUGUCGUUUGUUUGUCCGUCCUCCAGGAUCCUCAGUCUGUCUGCCGCUCCCUGCCUGGAUUUCCCGCCUGGAUUUCCCCACUGUCUCCAUAGCUGUGUCCCUGGCAAUAAACCAGUUUCCCCCGGACCUAGUCUCUGCAUUAGGGUCUGCCAGCACAUACCGUAACAGCCUCAGUCACAUUCACCUUCACAUUAGUAUCUUACUUCUCUUCCUUGAAAUUGGGAGAAUUUUCAGUAAAAUAAAAGUAAAGAGUAGAUCAAUUAAAAUAUACGGUUUCAUAAAAAAAUUAGGGCAUCAUGACACAUUAAAAUACUAAUUAAAGAUCUUUGAGACCUUUAGACAAUAACCUAAAUUUACCUAGACAUCAACGUAUGUCUAAUUGAGGCACUUAUAGUCAACUAUAACUGAUUAUGAUAGACAACUGACCGUCUUACCCCACAAAAAUGAACAAAAGGGUAAAAAUGUAAUGAACAUGACUGGCAUUUAAAUGAGAUGACAGCUACAAGCGUUACUAAGUUACAUAGUUUAAAUAGCCAGAACCUUUUAAAAUCAUCAAUAGAAUAAAACCUAAUUAAAGCAGACAACAAUAACACAUGCAGCAAUAGGAGAGCCGGCGGAUUUUACUCACAGAAAUGUUGCUAGGCAACAGUUUGUGAUUGAUGAAGUUCUCAUCGAGUGUUCAGCAUUGUGUUGGAUGAAUGGCAAAAUCCUCGUUCCUUCUCGGACCACAACUCGUCUGCUUGGCCUCUCGGGUCCAACCGUGCUACGUCAGAAAGUACCACUCACGUAGCAGGUCUAGGGCAUCCUUGGGGAUUGCUGGAUAAUCCACAAAAAGCAUUUAAGCAUUUAGCGUGCUGUCUUGACCCAACAUGACGCCAAUGCAAUUUUUAUAAACCUCUUCUCUACGUUCGUGGUCAGCGUGUGUCCCACUAUGACUGUGGAAACAGAGUUCCCUUAACCUACAAAAAAAUAUGUUCCUGUUUUAGUACAUAAUGCAGCAGAGUAUUGCAGCCAGUGUUCACUAAUUGGAGACAUACUACGUUUUGUUGGCUGACACAGCCUAGUAGUCAGUUAUCAAGUCAGAAGUAGGAUCAUUUUAUUUUACACUACAAUACCGUCAGCCUUAAUUUUGUUUGUGGAGGUGUCGAAAAACAAUCAUUUUGUGCUUCACUUCCCAGAACCUGAGGUUGCCGCCUUAUGAAUGAUUCCACUUUUAAAGGAGGCUCUGAGAAAUAAAGCGAACGUUAGGCCAACGAGAAAUGGAUCAUUUCAUUGGUCAACACUACAUCUGGCAUAUUAGUUGGGGAAUUUAGAGAUGGUUAUUGCACAGAAAAUCCUGAACACAGUGUAAGGAGAAGAUCAAAAACAGAGUGUAGUCAAUCUGUGCAAGCAAUAUAUCUGAGAGCAAGUUAGAGCAGAAGCGUAGCAAAUGAGUGCAAGCUGGGGUUAUUUUAGUGCAAAGCAGGGUUAGGAGCGAAAACCAAAACUCAACGUGAAGUCAACGAGUCUUGCUCUGAAACUGAAAGACCACACUUUCAAACAAAGACGAAGGAAAAAAAGCCCAAUGACAAUUUCAGCUCAAAUGCCAUCGCAAAGAUCACCUCACUUACUUCCCCCCCAAAUGGUGCAGAGUUCUUGGUGUCUGACAUAUCUAGUUUUUGGGACUCAUGGGGACAGAUGGAGGAAUCGGUUCUCAUUGCCCCCUUCCUCGCUUCAGCUUUCGUCCCCUGGGAGGACUCACAUUUCCCUCAACGCAGAGGUGUUUUCAAAUUAAAUACUAUCUAAUGAACUGGAAAACCGGCACCCACCCUGCUGUGUAUGUGUGUGUGUGUGUGUAUUUGUGGAGUAUGUGUUGGGGAAGUGCUGGUGAGCACGAUGAGAAGAUAAGGAGAGAGACAGAGUGAGAGAUUAAAAGAGAGAGGUAUUUGCAUAGCAAUCCAGUGAUUGCAGAGGCUGUGUGUGGCGUCAUGAAGCGUGUGUUCGUUAAUUGUAUAUCUCUGCAGUUCUAAUUGCUUUAAUUCCCUGUAAUUAAUCAGUAAUUGCAGUGAGGAGCCACGCAAAGAACUUUUCAAUAUGGAGUACAUAAAUAUAGAUGAGAGGAAACCUACGAAGAUUAUUUGGAAAUAGACCAAGGGACAUAGACACAGAGAGAGAGAAGCAAAUAAGAAAUAAAGAAAGUUCAAGCCUAGUAGGUAUUCUCUGAAAGGCCUGAAGAACUGCGUAAGUAAAUCCCCACAACUCACCUUAACCUAAGGUCACCUAACGCAUCGACACUCAAAAGUUCACAUCUCCUCUUUGAGAUUUGGGGCUUUAUAUGUUCCUGUGUCACAAUGUUUUACCUGUUCAGAAGUGUUGGGCGUGAUGUUUCUAUGUGCGCACACAGGACGGCAGCUGAUUCCAGGGGGAGCCCUGUCCCACCAGAGAGAAUCAAUCCUUCCCACUCACCAUACGGCUGGAAGGUAAUCCCCUCCCCUCCCCUCUCUCUCUCUCUCUCUCUCUCUCUCUCUCUCUCACUGUACCAUCCUCCUGCGCUCACUUCAUACCUCUCCCUUCCCCCAUCAUUAAUUCCCAAUUAAGACAGCAGCCCACCCACACACCUCCUUCCAGCGCAUAAUGCACAUAAAUGCUUUUUUCUGGUCAGUCUUUUAAUUUACAAAGGUUUGAGCUGAGGCCAGCAAACUCACUGAUCUGUGUAAAGGUCCGCGUGCGUGUGCGCGUGCAUGUUUUUGGUGCGUAUGUUGUAUAAUGAUCGCUUCUCUGUUCCUCUCCCGAACGCUGGAUGAAAGCGAACCUUUGUCAUUCUUGAUCGUUCUUUAAAUGAGAGUUGGCGGCUGGUCUUCGGUGACCUGCUGCGGCCCUCCCUCCUCCUCUGCCUCCUAUCUGUCCCCUCACACUUCCCCACCAACCCUGUGCCUCACAAAUAGCCUUAGCUCCCUCGUAACAAGCUGGGUUCUCAUAGAUCUCCAUCAAUUUGUGUCACACCAGGGAUUCCCUGAACAAAGUUGCCUUUGCCCACAACAGCUAUGCAUUAUUAAGGCUGUAAAAAACAGCCCGGAAAAGCGGCUGCGUGAUCCUGGGUUACAGAUACAAGGACGAGCGAGAAACAGGCAAAGCAGCAGAACAUAAGACGGAGGGUGGAAGAGAAAGGCUAAUGAUAAAAGGUCCUCAUUUUAAAUGCCAACGUGCAUUCCUCGGGUAUCUUGGUGGAUUUGACUGCUAAGUGGACCUCCAUACUGUACAUUUAUUUAAAAGAUUUCACAGGAACCGUCGCAGCAGUGACUCACAGUAGCAUGUGGGACUCGCAUCUAUCUCCAAAAUGUAAUAGAAAUAAAAUGCGGCACGUCAAAAAGCCCCCGGAAUAAACAUAAACAUUCACCUCCUGUGACCCUUCAAACAGCACGCUGCUCACAGCUACAGCGGCGAGUACGCUGUGACCGACACAUACGCCGGGAUUCAUCGUGUGUCCAGAAAGGGCAAUAGACACACAGCCAUGCCGUGUAGCGCAAUAACUUACUCAGGACAACAGUUCACCUUUAAAUAUAUAUUUUAGAAAUCUGACAUGAUUCACGAGCAGGAGCAGCAUUCUGUGGCACGAUUACAGACUGGACCAUCAGGCUCUAAUUUGGGAUUUAAUUAAAGGAAGUCAACAUGAAGAAACUGCACUGUCAAAAAAUGGGAAAUUAUGUUAACCCAGAGUAUGCUUCAUUAAGUGUUUAGCCGCUUAUGAGUCUCAUUUAACUCCUGUGCUGAAAGGUCACCAACCUCAACAAUGGUCCAUUUGACCAUGAAAUAAAUGUGCAAGUACAUUUUCAACCACCAUGGAACGGGAUUGAUAACAAAACUGUCCAGAAGAAACCAGAUUAUAAAAUAGUGUUUCAGCAAAUGAAAGUAUUUGGAGGAUUUAGGGUCGAGUCAAGUCACAAUGAGGCGUACGUUAAGUCCUGAGGGGAACGCACGUCCUUCGCUCGCCACCCUCUCUGCCCCAAAGCAAGUUGAACUCCGUCCCGCAGUUAUGAGUGAGUUAGUAACAGACAAGAACAAAGCCAACGGGCCGAGGUAUCAGUGGAAAAGAUUCAUUUGUUCAUCUUGGGCCACUCUAUUUAACCCAGCAGACUGCUAAUCAUCAUCACCAUGGAAACGUAGCUCCCCUAAACUCGUCUAAGUAGUCAUUUACCACAAGCUUUCCCUUGAUGUAGCAAAGCCAUUUUUUGCCUGAAGUU
ensembl:lncRNA